rnacentral:tRNA from 1 species
CUCUCGGUAGCCAAGUUGGUUUAAGGCGCAAGACUGUAAUAUAUCACUACGAAAUCUUGAGAUCGGGCGUUCGACUCGCCCCCGGGAGA